AGGGUUUGAUCCUGGCUCAGAACGAACGCUGGCGGCGGGCCUAACACAUGCAAGUCGAACGCUCGUAGCAAUACGGGAGUGGCAGACGGGUGAGUAACGCGUGGGAACGUACCUUUCAGUUCGGAAUAACCCGGGGAAACUCGGGCUAAUACCGGAUACGUCCGCAAGGAGAAAGAUUUAUCGCCGAAAGAUCGGCCCGCGUCGGAUUAGCUAGUUGGAGAGGUAACGGCCCACCAAGGCGACGAUCCGUAGCUGGUCUGAGAGGAUGAUCAGCCACACUGGGACUGAGACACGGCCCAGACUCCUACGGGAGGCAGCAGUGGGGAAUAUUGGACAAUGGGCGAAAGCCUGAUCCAGCCAUGCCGCGUGAGUGAAGAAGGCCUUAGGGUUGUAAAGCUCUUUCAGCGGGGAAGAUAAUGACGGUACCCGCAGAAGAAGUCCCGGCUAACUUCGUGCCAGCAGCCGCGGUAAUACGAAGGGGACUAGCGUUGUUCGGAAUUACUGGGCGUAAAGCGCGCGUAGGCGGAUCGCUAAGUCAGGGGUGAAAUCCCAGGGCUCAACCCUGGAACUGCCUUUGAUACUGACGAUCUGGAGAUCGGGAGAGGUUGGUGGAAUUCCGAGUGUAGAGGUGAAAUUCGUAGAUAUUCGGAGGAACACCAGAAGCGAAGGCGGCCAACUGGCCCGAUACUGACGCUGAGCGCGAAAGCGUGGGGAGCAAAACAGGAUUAGAUACCUGGUAGUCCACGCCGUAGAC
rnacentral:rRNA from 1 species